GUUUUUGGAUCUUGGUGGGAAAUCUGAUGCCUGUUGGCUAUAUACAUUGCUAGCUAUGGUUGGAUAACAAUUUGAUCAUGGAGAUGAAAUUUGUGGAGUAGUUGUCAAUGUCAGAGC